CCUGAUAUGUCCAAGAUCACACAGAGAAAAUGUGGGGAAUCAGAGAGGUUGAAUGUGAUGGUCAAUCAUCUGUUUCUUCAGCAGAUGAAAUUUUUUGGGAUGCACGUUUCUCAGCUUCUGGGGCAAGUUAAUUUUGUCUCUGCUGAGGGGAUCAGGGGGAGAGAUACAAACUCUGAAGUUAUUCAUCAGCAACUUCUGGGCAGAAGAUGGCAGUAUCUUCAACUGUACUCUGAAAGUAGGGACAGCUUGCAGUGUGCUGGAAGCUGUAUUGCUGAACUGUGUGUGGGUGUUUGACUUGUCUGUGAUUGUCAGUGCAGCCAAGCUGGGAGCCCCCUGCCUGUUCGGGGCAGAAGAAGAAGCAGGAACCUCCAGGAGAGAGAAACAGCUCCUUGGGCUAGGGAGACUGGUCAGCGUCCCAUUACCCAGAACUGAGUCCUCAGUGUCCUCGACCGCGGAAAGAGGAUGGAGAAGUCCCUGGGAGCCUUGUUAUUGAUCCUGGGGCUCCAGCUGGGCUGGGUGAGCGGCCUGGACAAGGUGGAGCAGACUCCUCCAUUCCUGAGCAUCCUGAAGGGACAGAAAGGCACCAUGAAUUGCAGCUUCCCAAACAUUGCUUUUAAUUACCUACAUUGGUACCGGCAGGACCCUGGGAAAGGACCCAUCUUCCUGAUAUUAAUGUAUUCAAAUGACAACGAAAAGACCAAUGGAAGAGUCACAGUCACACUAGAGAAAGGUGAAAAACGCAGCUUCCUGAACAUCAGGGAUGCCCAGCCUGGAGACUCCGCCACCUACCUCUGUGCCGUGGAGACACACUGA